rnacentral:rRNA from 1 species
AAGGAAUAUUGGUCAAUGGACGGAAGUCUGAACCAGCCAUCCCGCGUGCAGGAUGAAGGUCCUAUGGAUUGUAAACUGCUUUUAGCAGAGACGAAACGCCUCCAUUUAUGGGGGUCUGACGGUAUCUGCGGAAUAAGCACCGGCUAACUCCGUGCCAGCAGCCGCGGUAAUACGGAGGGUGCAAGCGUUAUCCGGAAUCACUGGGUUUAAAGGGUGCGUAGGCGGGGGAUUAAGUCAGUGGUGAAAGCCUGUAGCUUAACUACAGAAUUGCCAUUGAUACUGAUUUUCUUGAAUUGGGUUGAGGUUAGCGGAAUGUGACAUGUAACGGUGAAAUGUUUAGAUAUGUCAUGGAACACCGAUUGCGAAGGCAGCUAGCUGGGCCUUGAUUGACGCUGAGGCACGAAAGCGUGGGUAGCGAAC